GUAAUGCCCGCUGCGCCUCCUCCG
rnacentral:siRNA from 1 species